rnacentral:rRNA from 1 species
GAUGAACGCUGGCGGCGUGCCUAAUACAUGCAGGUCGAGCGAACAGAUGAGGAGCUUGCUCCUCUGACGUUAGCGGCGGACGGGUGAGUAACACGUGGAUAACCUACCUAUAAGACUGGGAUAACUUCGGGAAACCGGAGCUAAUACCGGAUAAUAUAUUGAACCGCAUGGUUCAAUAGUGAAAGACGGUUUUGCUGUCACUUAUAGAUGGAUCCGCGCCGCAUUAGCUAGUUGGUAAGGUAACGGCUUACCAAGGCAACGAUGCGUAGCUGACCUGAGAGGGUGAUCGGCCACACUGGAACUGAGACACGGUCCAGACUCCUACGGGAGGCAGCAGUAGGGAAUCUUCCGCAAUGGGCGAAAGCCUGACGGAGCAACGCCGCGUGAGUGAUGAAGGUCUUCGGAUCGUAAAACUCUGUUAUUAGGGAAGAACAAAUGUGUAAGUAACUAUGCACGUCUUGACGGUACCUAAUCAGAAAGCCACGGCUAACUACGUG